CGAACGGGGUUUAGGAGCUUGCUCCUAGACCUAGUGGCGAACGGGUGAGUAACGCGUGAGUAACCUGCCCAUAUCAGGGGAAUAACACAGUGAAAACUGUGCUAAUACCGCAUAAGACCACAGAGAGGCAUCUCUCAGGGGUAAAAGAUUUAUCGGAUAUGGAUGGGCUCGCGUCCUAUUAGGUAGUUGGUGAGGUAACGGCUCACCAAGCCCGCGAUAGGUAGCCGACCUUAGAGGGUGAUCGGCCACAUUGGAACUGAGAAACGGUCCAGACUCCUACGGGAGGCAGCAGUGGGGAAUAUUGGGCAAUGGAGGCAACUCUGACCCAGCAACGCCGCGUGAAUGAUGAAGGUCUUCGGAUUGUAAAGUUCUGUGAUGGGGGAUGAACACAAUGACGGUACCCCAAUAGCAAGCCACGGUUAACUACGUGCCAGCAGCCGCGGUAAUACGUAGGUGGCAAGCGUUAUCCGGAAUGACCGGGCCGUAAAGGGUGCGUAGGUGGUUUAGUAAGUUGGCGGUGUAAUUCCGGGGCUCAACCUCGGCGCUACCGCCAAAACUAUUAGACUAGAGUGCAGGAGGGGUAAGUGGAAUUCUUAGUGUA
rnacentral:rRNA from 1 species